UACGUAGGGCGCAAGCGUUAUCCGGAAUUAUUGGGCGUAAAGAGCUCGUAGGCGGUUUGUCGCGUCUGCCGUGAAAGUCCGGGGCUCAACUCCGGAUCUGCGGUGGGUACGGGCAGACUAGAGUGAUGUAGGGGAGACUGGAAUUCCUGGUGUAGCGGUGAAAUGCGCAGAUAUCAGGAGGAACACCGAUGGCGAAGGCAGGUUGCUGGGCCGACACUGACGCUGAUGCGCGAAAGCCAGGGGAGCGAACGGG
rnacentral:rRNA from 1 species